UACGAAGGGGGCUAGCGUUGUUCGGAAUUACUGGGCGUAAAGCGCGCGUAGGCGGACUGACAAGUCGGGGGUGAAAUCCCGAGGCUCAACCUCGGAACUGCCUUCGAUACUGUCAGUCUUGAGGUCGGGAGAGGUGAGUGGAACUCCGAGUGUAGAGGUGAAAUUCGUAGAUAUUCGCAAGAACACCAGUGGCGAAGGCGGCUCACUGGCCCGGUACUGACGCUGAGGUGCGAAAGCGUGGGGAGCAAACAGG
rnacentral:rRNA from 1 species